CCUACGGGAGGCAGCAGUAAGGAAUAUUGGACAAUGGGCGAAAGCCUGAUCCAGCCAUGCCGCGUGAAGGAUUAAGGUCCUCUGGAUUGUAAACUUCUUUUAUGUGGGACGAAAAAAGGGCAUUCUUGCUCACUUGACGGUACCAUUUGAAUAAGCACCGGCUAACUCCGUGCCAGCAGCCGCGGUAAUACGGAGGGUGCAAGCGUUAUCCGGAUUCACUGGGUUUAAAGGGUGCGUAGGCGGGUAGGUAAGUCAGUGGUGAAAUCUCGAAGCUUAACUUCGAAACUGCCAUUGAUACUAUCUAUCUUGAAUAUUGUGGAGGUUUGCGGAAUAUGUCAUGUAGCGGUGAAAUGCUUAGAUAUGACAUAGAACACCGAUUGCGAAGGCAGCAGGCUACACAUAUAUUGACGCUGAGGCACGAAAGCGUGGGGAUCAAACAGGAUUAGAUACCCUGGUAGUCCACGCCCUAAACGAUGAUUACUCGACAUACGCGAUACACUGUGUGUGUCUGAGCGAAGCAUAAGUAAUCCACCUGGAGUACGUCCGCAGGAUGAAACUCAAAUAGAGUAGAGCGNGAGAGNGCGAGGACGACACGAGGGAGGAG
rnacentral:rRNA from 1 species